rnacentral:rRNA from 1 species
GACGAACGCUGGCGGCGUGCUUAACACAUGCAAGUCGAACGGAAAGGCCCUGCUUUUGUGGGGUGCUCGAGUGGCGAACGGGUGAGUAACACGUGAGUAACCUGCCCUUGACUUUGGGAUAACUUCAGGAAACUGGGGCUAAUACCGGAUAGGAGCUCCUGCUGCAUGGUGGGGGUUGGAAAGUUUCGGCGGUUGGGGAUGGACUCGCGGCUUAUCAGCUUGUUGGUGGGGUAGUGGCUUACCAAGGCUUUGACGGGUAGCCGGCCUGAGAGGGUGACCGGCCACAUUGGGACUGAGAUACGGCCCAGACUCCUACGGGAGGCAGCAGUGGGGAAUAUUGCACAAUGGGCGGAAGCCUGAUGCAGCAACGCCGCGUGCGGGAUGACGGCCUUCGGGUUGUGAAUCGCUUUCGCCUGUGACGAAGCGUGAGUGACGGUAAUGGGUAAAGAAGCACCGGCUAACUACGUG